rnacentral:rRNA from 1 species
GACAGAGGGUGCAAACGUUUGUUCGGAAUUACUGGGCGUAAAGCGUGUGUAGGCGGCUUUGUAAGUCGGAUGUGAAAGCCCCGGGCUCAACCCGGGAAGUGCACUCGAUACUGCGAAGCUUGAGUACUGGAGAGGUUGGUGGAAUUCUCGGUGUAGAGGUGAAAUUCGUAGAUAUCGAGAGGAACACCGGUGGCGAAGGCGGCCAACUGGACAGAUACUGACGUGAGACACGAAAGCGUGGGGGAGAAACAGG